UACGUAGGGGGCUAGCGUUGUCCGGAUUCAUUGGGCGUAAAGAGCGUGUAGGCGGCCAUGUAGGUCCGUUGUGAAAACUCGAGGCUCAACCUCGAGACGCCGAUGGAAACCAUGUGGCUAGAGUCCGGAAGAGGAGAGUGGAAUUCCUGGUGUAGCGGUGAAAUGCGCAGAUAUCAGGAAGAACACCCGUGGCUAAGGCGGCUCUCUAGUACGGUACUGACGCUGAGACGCGAAAGCGUGGGGAGCGAACAGG
rnacentral:rRNA from 1 species